rnacentral:misc_RNA from 1 species
CAGAGUUUUCUAAACUCCCAACCCUUUGUGUAUCUACUAUUUUGUUGCCUCGGCGGGCUCUACUCCUCGGAGUAGGCCUAAGUCCGCCGGUGGCCCAAAACUAAACUCUUGAAUUUUUUGUCAUCUGAGAGUUAUUUUUAAAAUAAGUCA